CAAACGACUCUCGGCAACGGAUAUCUCGGCUCACGCAUCGAUGAAGAACGUAGCAAAAUGCGAUACUUGGUGUGAAUUGCAGAAUCCCGUGAACCAUCGAGUUUUUGAACGCAAGUUGCGCCCGAAGCCAUCCGGUUCAGGGCACGCCUGCCUGGGCGUCACGC
rnacentral:rRNA from 2 species